CCUGCGGAGAAGGUGACUCAGUCACUGCCCCAGGACGGCCAGCGUCAGGGCCUGGCGUCUAGAGAGGCACUGCCCGGAGACUGGGGCACGGCGGCCAGGCAGAGAUCCAGAGACCAGGCAGGGCCACAGACACAGCCGUGGGCUGUGUCAUCUUGGUGCCAGCUCACCGUGUGACCUCGUGCGGCUCACUCCACCUCUCUGAGCCUGAGCCUCGGACUCAACCAGCCUGGUUUGAAGGAGGAAGUACACCUCCAAAGCAUUCGGAAGUGAUGCCCUAGCUGCCGGAGGAGACCGCGCGGGGGCCCCGGCGCCUGGCACUCACGUGGUGACCUUGAGGACAUCCUUCAUGCUGGUCAGUGGGUCUGAGUUGUCAGGGCAGCGCAGGAGGCAGGGUGCGAAGAUGAUAGCGAGAGCACUGGGCGACAUGCGGUUCACGUCCUCGAGCAGGGCCACCCUGCGUGGUGAGCGGCAGUUAGGGGUGGCCAGGGAGCCCCGAGACUGGAGGCCAGGACCCUGGGGCUGCUGCCAGGAAAAGUGCCUCCAGACCCUGGAGGUGGAGGCUAGCACCUCGCUUCCAUGGGGCAGAGAGCCACCGCAGGAGAGCGUGGGGGGCCCCUCCCCGACCCCCGCCCCCAACCCGGCCCCGGGGCCUGGGGUGCAACCACCAGAGAACGCUGGCCCAGGGAACACUGUGGCGGGGCUCCUGAUGGGGACCCCCACCCCACAAGAGCAGGUGGCAGGCACUUGCUUGACGAGGUGGAAGAUGAGCCUCUCCAAUGAGUUGUGGUUGGCCUCAGGCAGGUGCUCCAGGACGGUGUAGAUGGCGGCCAGCUGCUCCUGCUUUCCCGGCAGCUCUGGAAGGACCCAGGGCGUCAGCUCCCCAUAGCGCUGGCCCCCCCAACGUUCCCGGGGCGCAGGGGAGCCCCCCCGCCACGUGGGGCCAGAUGCAGGGCCACAAGGGCUACGUGCCCUAGGCUGGGGACCCGCACCGGGCCGGCUGCUUUGAGCCUUGGCUUCUCAGCUGUGCUCCCCGAUUAGCCGCAGUGAGCGCGCGUGGUUCCAACCCUGGCCGUGGCCACCUGCCCUGCCCUCGCUGCUGCUGUGGGACUCACCUACGGCUCGGAGGAAGUCGCCGUACUGGGCAAAAGUCAUGAGGGGCUCAGGCAGCUCCCGAAGCCACUGCUUGAGCACGCCGGUGAUGGCAUGGAUGGGGAAGUUCUCCAGCUUGACGGCCGCGGGGUCUGCGGGGAGGCGGGGGGCGGGGCUGGUGAACGCAGGCAGGGGGGCUGUGCCCCAGCCCCCUCGUGCCCACUCCCCCCGGACACCCACCUGUCUGCAGUGCCUGUCGGAGCUCCCGCGUGCGGUUGGCAGCGCCCGACUUGCGGUAGAGGCCCUCGGUGUACAGGCCGUGCAUCUCCACAUGUUCCAGAAGCUUCUCCAGCACAACAGGCACUGAGGCCUUGUCACUGGUCAGGCUGUCCACGCACACGCCGAAGUGGCCCGGCUCGGCGCCUGGCUCGCUCUGCAGUACCAGAGGUGGGGGGGGGGGGUCAGGUCUCCUGUGUGGGCUCUACCCUCCCUGCCCCUCACGCCCCCCAUAGGCUGCUGGGGGCGCCUGGCUGGGGAGGUGAGCUUGCUGGCCGCUGGGCAGGGGCUCCCCCUGCGGAGCGGCCCCAGCUGCCUCAGGGUGGUUGGUCCUGCUUCCGCUGCAGCUCCAGUGCUUGGGACCCUGCCUCCCUCACGCAGAGUUGGGGACGCCCUCCUGGGUCUCGGGCGGGGCAGGGCUGGGGGUCUGAGACGCACGUAUAAGCCCAGUCCUGUCUCAGGAGACCCCGAGGGGCUCUGACAGAACAGGGGCUGCAAACCAGCCCCUCGUCUGACACCCUACGCUGGCCUGGCACCAAGCACACCCUCUCCUCUGCAUCGCUCGGGAGUGCCUCCCCUAGGUGUUCCGGAAAGUUCCCGGCCUGCUCACCUUUCUCCUGCAUGCGUAGGCGCAGUAGGUCUGAAUCUUGGGCACACACUUCUUGUGGCAGGUCAUCUUGCACACUAGGAGGUAAGGGGGGGGGUGGUCACAGAUGAUGCAUCGAGGACCCCGGUUUCCCGAGGCCGCCUGCCCUGUCGGCCAGGGACCCGCUGACCAGCUUCUAAAUUGGAGUCCUACGAAUCCCUGCCCUGAUGCCCAGGUGAGGAAGCCACGUGGGCAGAUGUUCACAGCUGGUGACUCUGUGUGGCCUCAGAGCCCGGCCGGCGGGACAGGAGCAAGGGCUCGGGAGGGGGGAGGUGGGGGGCAGGGGCAUACUUGAGAGAGGAAAUGGGCUGAGACCAAAAAGGAGAGGGCAGCUAGUGUCCUUGUCUCAGGACGGUGACAACUGCCUGGGUUUUUUUUUUUUUUUAACAUUUUUAUUUAUUUUUGAGAGACAGAGCGUGAGCGGGGGAGGGGCAGAGGGAAAGGGAGACACAGAAUCAGAAGCACUGCCUGGGUAUUUGUGAUGGACAUGAGGGGACAGAUCGCUCUUUACACAGGGACUGAGGAGACAGGAGACCCCGGGCAGAAGAGAGAGAGGCCCAGGGAGAGAAAGCUGAUCCCUGCAGGAAAAUACAACUGCCAGAGACCGACUGACCCGGCCCCGGCCUCCUGCCAGCUGGGUCAUCCUGGGCUUAAGCUCCAUGCCCAACGUGGGGCUUGAACCCACGACCCUGAGAUCAAGAGUCCCAUGCUCUACCGCCUGAGCCAGCACCUCAAGACCCACUGAGUUUUUACACGAGAUGUAAACAUCUGUGGUGAGCAACAGGAACACCGGCUGCAGGUGUUCUCACGUGAGCCCAGGGAGGGGUUCUCAUCUGGUUUCCGGAACUUUCUGUGCCGGAACUGUGCACCUGGAUUUUCUGUUCCCGGCGCACGAAGGGCUGUGGUGUGGCGGCUCAGAAAACGGCCGGGUGGUGAAAACCCUUCUGGGGAGGCCCAGCUCUGACACUGCGUGUCCCCCCGCGACGCCGUACGUGCCCCUGGGUGACCCACCUUGUUG